AUGUGUUUUGGGAUGAUCUGAUGAACUCCUGUGUUUUGGAAUUGAACAAUUUCCUGGGUAGAAUGAUGAUGAACAGACAGAUGAGCAGAUCUGUUUAUACUGUUAGAUUGUCCCGAUGGUAAAAAUACACUGUUUUUGGAUGAGUCACAAAAAUAUUGCUACACAGUAUUUGGUAAAGUUUAGAAGAAGUCAAAAAUAGGAUGGGGUGGUAUAGAUAAAGGGAUUUCAAAACAAGCAUAUGGUCAUUCAAAAGUCAUUUGAUUAUUUCUUUUUUCUUUACUCAUCUGUAUCUUCUUCAAGGCAAGAAUUUUACAGAGAGAUAAACAUGUUCAAUGACUCAAAGAUCUGUACAAGUCAAACUCACAAGCAAACUGACACUACUACCGGACUUCACGGUUUUGAGGGAAAAAUGAAGACAACUCAAACUUAUUUUGCUGAGAUUCACGGGAAAUAAAAUAAGUAAAAUUUCUUCCUUGAAGUAAUAUUUGCUCCUUUGGCAAAGAGGUCAGGUAUUCGAGAUUAGGGCCAGGUUAAGAGAGCAUCCACUAGAGAGUUCACCCAGAACAAAAUGUACUUUGUUCCUUGUAGCUCAGCUUCAUGUGACCUCAGAUUCUAAGACAGGGAAAUGAAAAUGUGUAGUCUAUAACAAAUUUACUAUUUCUAUGAAAAUGAGAGUGAAUAUUCCUUCGAUUUGAUCAAACCACUCUUUUGUGAGAAUUUCUAUGAUCUCAUUCUCUGCAUAUGAAUAUAUUGAAACUUAAGGAACCUAACUGCAUUGAAAUUCCUUACAAUUUGCAGCGGGUAGAUCAUUGGAAAAUCUACCAACCAUAGGUUUUAUUUUAUAGAUUGAGCCUCCAUUUAUUCCUCAAAUAGUUAUUAAGUAGAGGCUACGGCUUAGGCCCUGAGAACUGGGGCCCUGUGGAUAGACUCCUUUCCAGCCUGGUGAACCUUAACAACUGUGAAUAGUGCAAAUGGUGUAGUAGGCUAAACAGCCCAAUCAAUCUACUAUCACAGGACCAGCGAAGCAGCCAAACCAAAUGCCAGACCUUAAUCAGCACUGCCUGAUGUUCUUGUGCUGGGCUCUGUGAGGAUUCCAGCAGCAAUGAAAACAUGCUCUCUGUUCCUCAUUUUGGGGAUUCCACAAUUAUUCUCAAGAAACAAUUAGGGAAAAACAUAACAGUUCAUUACUAGCUACAGAUUAACUACAUUUACUGCAGAGACCUGAGGGGAAUAGAAUGUUCUCUAUUCCUUACAUCUUGCCAGUACACAAACUUGUUUCAGUAAAGCCACCCCACCUCUCACGUGCUAAUUAUUGUGAUGGACAAUUGCAGAGUAUCAGAUGUGACAGCCUUGCAACAUUUUUAUAGCAGCCAAUAAUAAAAUACAUUUUAAAUCGCAAGAACUUUAUAAAACAAUACUUAUUAUGAUAAUCACAUUUUUGCUUUUUCUAUUCACUUUUCUACUCUUUGAUUUCAUUUUUAAAAAUGUCACUGGGGAAACUGUAAAUCGAUUUUACAACAGUGAGUUAUGGAAAACAUGGCUACAGACUAGCCUUUUCAAACUGUGGCAGAGCCGGCCGGCCAUAGUAGAGGCACUGUGAGACCCAGCUAUAGACUAAAUAUUUGUGUCUCCCUAAAAUACAUGUUGAAAUCCUGAGCCCCAGUGUGAUGGUUUGAGGAGGUGGGGGCUUUUGAGAGGUGAUUAGGUCAUGAGAUGGAGCCCUCAUGAGAGAUUUGUGUUAUCUUGCCAGGACCCUCUCACCAGGAGAAGACACAGUGGGAAAGCUAUGAGCCAGGAAGAAGGCCUUCACCAGACACUGGAUCUGCUGGUUCUUUAUCUAGGAUUUCUAACCCUGCAGAACUGUGAACAGAUUUCUCAUCUCCCGGAACUAAGGGAAGACUGAUGCUGAGAGAACGAUUACAUCAUCCCCAGCCAUGGUUUCACGCCAGUGAGGGGCAGAGGUAAGAACAUUGAGAGCUUUGGAAGAGUAUCCAUUUGCAUCAUGGAUGUCAGAGAUUACAUUUUGAUUCUUUGGAACGUGUUAAUUGGAUCCUGAAGCUCUGGCUGUAUUUGAAAUCUAGAAGAUGGGUUUCAGCAGAACUGUGGAGAUGUUCAUGGAAAGUUGGGAAAAAAUCAUUCCGUUGAGGGCUGACUUUUGAAAAGCAGAAAGAUCUGCUCCCGUGGAAGAAGGCAGAAAAGUAGAGAAGACCAGAGUGCUUCAUGAAAACCAGCAACACAUCCUUCUUCCAGAAAGGUUACAAACCAGGCUUGGUACUUCACUUUUAUUGGAUUAGCCCUGCUGCUCGACACUGUGCUUCUGAUGCAGGCCCCACUCUGCAGGGACCUGUCAAGUGAGCAGGCAGUGUUGGAGAGCUGUUGGUAUGUGCGGCUCAGUGAGUAUUGAUUGGUGCCUUCUGGAGCCCAGCUCUGCACAUAAAGCACAGGGCAGAGCCUCUGCCUGAAGGGAUGCAGACUUCUCACUGGCAAACAAACAUUUGAAACUGCACCAAAUUCUUUUAAGGAAGCUUGUGGGUAACCAAGCCUGAAGAUUAUACCAGAAAGGGUACAGCUUUAAACAACUGGUUCAAGAGUCUAAUAUAUUUGCCUUUCCAGCCUCCUUCUCCCUCUCUCCCCACUCAUCCUUGACCUUCCCAGACCUCCUCCUGACCUCUCCCUCUGUCUCCUGCAGAGAUAGAGCUGUUUCACUUCAAAUAUAGCGAGAGUCGAGUUUGGAUGUCUGCCUGAGCUUCGUAGGGAUGUUGCUGAAAGCUCUGCACAUAGAAGGAAAUUUGUGCAGGGCCUCAUUUGGGAGAGAUGAAAUAUUUUAAUAGCAGUGUUUAUGUUCUCGGUCUGUAGAUAACUAAAAACCAGCAAGAUUUUACAUCAGGCUUUGAAAUGAAAAAUAUUACCCACUCAAUGGAAAUACAAAUUUCAUCCCUUUUUGCCCUUCGGCCCUCUCAAUGUUAUUCCUCCAGAUUUUCCUGUUCUCCUUGAGAUUUCUGAGUCACCACAGAGGGAGACCCAACGCGAUGUCUGGCCAAGUUUUGCAGGUUUAGCAUUCUCAAGAAAAGCAGACUUAAAAGGUUUCCUUUCAGCAUUCCCUAAGCUCCUCAGACAGUCUGGAGCAGAAAUUGUCCUGGGACCCAUGAUCGAGUGGAGACCAAAAUUGUAGCAGGCAGGGGAGUUCAAAAGGGUCAGACCAGCCCCCUGGUGCAUCUGGGCAGCUGCUCUGAGACCAGUCCGGCUCGGCUAUCAAAGACCAGGCUGUUCCCAGACUUAACCUUAUGAAUCCUGUCCUCUGAGAGAUCCGAGCCUGGACCUCCCUAUCCUUCUUCCUCUCCUUAAAAAUGGGAGUUUAUGCAGACAAAGCAAAUUUUUCAAUGUCACAGUGAGGACAGUUUAAACGGAUGUCUCUGGAUUCAUGCUUGAGGGCAGCCAUGUGCACAGCCACCUCUCCUGAGAUUAAGUGGGCUUGAAAAUCUGAUUUAUAGAAGCAAGGAGAAUAGCUCUUUUUUAACAGUUGGCUGGGUUAAAAUAGAUGUUCUUCGCUGGAAAAAUCACCAACACACUCAAACAAAACACAUACCAUUCAAAUGAGCUACCUGGGCCUGAUGUAUCUUUAUAUUAACUUAGUCGAUGCUCUUCGGAAAUAAAUGGACUCUAUGUUGCAAUGCACAAUGAAGAUGAUUUUAAUAAAGACUAUAUGAGUAGGCA